GUGAUCUCUUCUGCAGCACAUAUACUAAAAUUGGACUGAUACAGAGAAAGUUAGCAUAACCCCUGCUUAAGCUAAAGAGUACUAUAAAAUAUUAUAUUUUGUU
ensembl:snRNA U6 U6 spliceosomal RNA